ACAUCUCAACAUGCAAUUAGCUUUUAUUUAAUCAAAAUCAGCAACCAACAUUCCUCCCAUUCCUCCUAACAUUCUGAUCCAAGCUAUACGUUCUUAUGCUUGAAUUAUAAUUCACUGAUUCCAGCUUUCCAAAUCAGUUUCCAAGAUUUCCCAAAACAAGAAAGAGAUCCAAUUUUGGUGAAUUCAGAAAGAAGAUUUUCCUCAUUUCCUACUCAUAUCAAGGUCCGGGCGACAGAAAGUGAAGCAGAAGAAGAAACGACUCCACGCCAGCUUUAAGAACAAUUGAGGUUGAGCAGGCGAUGGAAUGGAUUGGUGUUGAGCGGAUUUCUCUUUUGAUGUUUAUGUAAUGAAACCUUGAGUAUGCAUCUCCAUAUGCAUAACUCACACGUUUUUCCGCUGCAAACACUCUGAAUUUGUUAUCGUAUUGUGGAACUUAUUACUCCUUCAUUUUGUUUAACUUUCAUUUGGGGUUUAGUCGUUAUGGCUGGCUCGUUUCUUAAUUACCCA